UCAAACUUUUCAUUACUUAUCAUAUGUUGUUUUUUUCUAAUAUUUAUUUUUAAUAAUCAAAUGUAUUUGUUUAAAUAAUAAAUAAUAAAUUUAAAUAUG
rnacentral:miRNA from 1 species